AAAGUGUGUAUGUUUAGACCGGGCGAGGAUCCUGAAUCAAGGUCCGGGCCUCUUUCCUCGGAAGAACAGACCGACCGAUGGUCUUCUGGGCACCCAGAGGAGCAGUCAAGCGCGGUGCUUGCUGAGAGCUUGGCCUCCGUGGGUGCCAUUUAAUCUGCGGUUGGGAGAGGUAUUCAGAGCUUUGCAGAUGGGCCUCUGCCGUUCCUCAGGGCCCACUCCAGUGCCCAGGGAGGGUGGGCAGAGCAGCGGAGGCAGGGGGCUUGCGGUGGGGCUGGGGCCGGCAGAGGAACAAACGGACUCACAGGACGUGCGGCAGGCAGGAGAGCCCUCUCCCGACCUGACCGUCACGGAAGCCUCUCAGCCGGUGUCUGAGCUGGGACUGGGACCCAGAGUCCUCAGUCAGGCUCUUCCCUCCGAGGUGGGGAGGCGAGCCCGGGGAUCCGCACCUGCCCAGGUGGACUCCGCUGCUGCGUGGCGCCUGCCCUGGGACCCACGUGCGGCUAGGCGGCACCUCCCCGGGCGCCCAGCAGGUGGCGGUGCGCGGCCUCGAAUGGCGGCUGGCAGGGCCGGGACGCGGCGGCUCCUCGCCGGGCGCGUUUCCUCCUCCAGCACUGUCUCACCCUGCUCCAUGCUAACCUGCUGAACGGCCCCUGGCCUCUUUCCGCCCCGCCCCCGCCUCCGCAAUGCGCCCCCCUUCCCUUCUGCGGUCCCCUGCCUGUCGCCCUCUCACGCUCCAGGUUGUGAGCGAGUAUCUCCCCACUUUAACACCCUACACCACACCGCGCCCGGCCACAAGACAGCUUUACAACAUACACAACCCUGACGAGGAAACGUGUUCAAAACCAAUCACUGCGCUCAUCAUAAAGGUAAAGAAAGCAAGGAGGUGUGUGUCCACGCACAGGGUAAAUGUGGGCUGGGUGUGGGGUUCUAACUUGGAGAGGGCCUGAGGGCAGUGGCAACUCGCAUUGCAUUGGAGGGAGGCCUUGGCAGGGCCCACGGGGAGAGGCUAGAGAGCCUCCCAGGUGCGGGGCAAGGCAUGGGCUAUGCUUGGGGGCAGAAACAGACAUCUGGGGAGCAAUGAGAGGCUUUUGGCUGCAGAGGGGCAGCCGGGAGACCUGCCCCAACCCUCUUCAAGCCCUUGGUCUUGUUUCCUGACAUCCCAGGUCGUGUACAAAUGUCUCCUCUCCUAGAAGCCGAGGUUGAAAAAUGGUCAAACCAUUAAUUACUCAACAGUUUGUUUGGGCAGUAGUGUCUGCAGCAGUGGGGUUUUUAUACAGCACAAAAAUAACAAAACAAAGUUGGAAAGCGAGGGCCAUUCUGGAUGAACGUCCACCCUUGGCUCAUGGUCCAGGCCAUCGAGAUGUGUGACCAUCCUGAGAGAGCAGAUGACAGAGGUGCUUGUGCCUUUGGUUGGUGGGGAGUGGGUGGAAUGUGGCCAUUUUUUGGUAGUGGGGUGAACUUGUGAACAGUGUGAUCAUAAUAAUGGCUAACAGGUUUUUUUAUUCUUUUUUUUGAGAUGGCGUCUCACUCUGUAACCCAGGCUGGAGUGCAAUGGUGUGAUAUUGGCUGACUGCAACCUCCGCCUCCUGGGUUCAAGGGAUUCUCCUGCCUCAGCCUCCCAAGUAGCUGGGAUUACAGGUGCCCACCACCACACCUGGCUAAUUUUUGUAUUUUUAGUAGAGACGAGGUUUCACCAUGUUGGCCAGGCUGGUCUCGAACUCCUGACCUCAGGUGAUCCACCCGCCUUGGCCUCCCAAAGUGCUGGGAUUACAGGCGUGAGCCACCGUGCCCGGCCGGCUAACGGUUUAUGAGCACUUACCAGCCACUGUCCUAUGCCCUCUCGUUGAAUGCUCACAAUGACCCAAUGGGAUGACCCUGUCACCAUCGUCCAUCCCAUCUUUCAGAAGUGGACGCUGAGUCAUGCUGAAGUUAUAUAAUGCACUCAGCUCACAUGGCUGGUAGCACUUGAGGCAGGGAUCUGGACACAGACGGCUUGACUCCGGAGCUCCUCUCAACCACAAGCCAAUGUCAACAAGCCUCCACCAUGAAGGUCCUGAAUGAUAUGAAUAAAAUAGCAUUCGCGGCAGAGUGAUCUCCUUGGAUCUCCUGAGUGGCCCAUUUGGCAGUGGGUGAGGAACUUGGGGCUCAGUGAGAUGGAGUGACUUUGACCUGCCUGAUGUUCCACAGCCAGCAGGUAGGAAAACGAGGGGUUUCACAUGUGUGCCCUGAGUCCACACAGCCAGGUACCAGGCUUGGUGCCAAGAAUAGAACCACAAGCUGGACAGACAACGUUCGUACCCUCAUGAAGCAUAUGUUUUAGGACAGACAGGCAACAAACAAGGAAAUAAGUGACUCCACUGAAUAAUUACAGACUGUGUAGGUGUCAGCAAAGGGAGACACAGAGUUCAAUGACCCAGAACGCAGAGCACUCUGGCUUAGGUGGGAGGUCAGCGGAGACCCCAGCAGGAGAGUCACGUCCUCUCUCGCUAGCCACCUGUCCCUUGCUAUCCACCUCCACCUGUUCAAGGGCUGCCCACUCAUCUGUGCUCGGGAUGCCAGCAUUAGCAAAGCAUCUCAGCUUCAUUGUGGGCAAGUAGCCUUGGUAUAGAUGAUGAGCUCAGGGGACUGAGGCCUAGAGGUAGAGAGGUUGUAGGGGUAUUUGUGGGGUCAGUCAUCUAGGGACGAAAUGGGUCCUUAAAGAGAAAACCAGGGGAUGGGCGCAGUGGCUCAUGCCUGUAAUCCCAACACUUUGGAAGGCCAAGGUAGGCAGAUUGCCUGAGGUCAGGAGUUCGAGACCAGCCUGGCCGACAUGGUGAAACCCCAUCUCUACUAAAAAUACAAAAAUUAGCUGGGGGUGGUGGCGGGUGCCUGUAAUCCCAGCUACUCGGGAGGCUGAGGUGGGAAAAUCACUUGAAUCUGGGAGAUAGAGGUUGCAGUGAGCCAAGAUGGUGCCACUGCACUCCAGCCUGGGCAACAGAGUGAGACUCCAUCUCAAAAAAAAGAAAAAGAGAAAACCAUGGUUUGGGUCA
rnacentral:lncRNA from 1 species